UGUUAACAUGGACUUCAUUAAAUUUUUCAUUUUAAUGUUUUUUUCGCCAUCAUUUAUCCUGUGUCAGACAUUACAAGAGUCUGGUCCUGGAACUGUGAAACCCUCAGAGUCACUCAGACUGACCUGCACAGUUUCUGGGUUUGAGCUAACUAGCUAUGGUGUGCACUGGAUCAGGCAGCCUCCUGGGAAGGGACUGGAAUGGAUUGCAUCUGUAUGGGCGAGUGUAAGCACAGCUAUUGCAGAUUCACUUAAAAACAGAGUUACAAUUACUAGAGAUACCGGGAAGAAGCAGGUCUACCUCCAAAUGACUGGGAUGGAAGUUAAAGACACUGCCAUGUAUUACUGUGCAAGAGACACAGUGACAGAAGAGAAUGAGGAAGUCAGACAAUAACAAAAUGUCAAAUUACAUUGCACAGUGU